UACGGGGGGAGCAAGCGUUGUUCGGAUUUACUGGGCGUAAAGGGCGCGUAGGCGGCCACCGCAAGUCGACUGUGAAAUCUUCGGGCUUAACCCGGAAAGGUCAGCCGAUACUGCGGGGCUAGAGUGCAGAAGGGGCAACUGGAAUUCUCGGUGUAGCGGUGAAAUGCGUAGAUAUCGAGAGGAACACCUGCGGCGAAGGCGGGUUGCUGGGCUGACACUGACGCUGAUGCGCGAAAGCUAGGGGAGCGAACGGG
rnacentral:rRNA from 1 species